rnacentral:rRNA from 1 species
GGGGAAUAUUGCACAAUGGGCGAAAGCCUGAUGCAGCAACGCCGCGUGAGGGACGACGGCCUUCGGGUUGUAAACCUCUUUUAGCAGGGAAGAAGCGAAAGUGACGGUACCUGCAGAAAAAGCACCGGCUAACUACGUGCCAGCAGCCGCGGUAAUACGUAGGGUGCAAGCGUUGUCCGGAAUUAUUGGGCGUAAAGAGCUCGUAGGCGGUUUGUCGCGUCUGCUGUGAAAUCCCGAGGCUCAACCUCGGGUCUGCAGUGGGUACGGGCAGACUAGAGUGCGGUAGGGGAGAUUGGAAUUCCUGGUGUAGCGGUGGAAUGCGCAGAUAUCAGGAGGAACACCGAUGGCGAAGGCAGAUCUCUGGGCCGCUACUGACGCUGAGGAGCGAAAGGGUGGGGAGCAAAC